rnacentral:rRNA from 1 species
CUGCUUCUACUUUCUGUAUGGAGCUGGGAGCGUCUGCCUGUUGGACGCCCGAAGAGCGUCAGGUUUGAUCCUUGGUAUGCAGAUGAACAUGACGAAUUACGACGCCCCACGUGGGCUUACAAGUGGGAUAUCGUUUCCGAGAUGACGAACGAUGUCAAUCUCAUGUACCAAAAGUACAUUGCCGAGUUGGACACGAUUACGCCUGAGCAGGUAAGGAGGUCAUUACUUUAG